rnacentral:lncRNA from 1 species
GAGAUGUCUGGGGAAUCUUGUGAGGAUAGGUGGACUCAGCUUUGUUAGUGGAGAAAUCUUUGGCAGGUGGUCUUUAUCUUUUAGUACAGGUGGCUUCUGUAGAAGAUCGCAUCAUUUAGCUUUGAGUCACAUCUUCUUUUCUUUAAGUCGUAUCUGCUUUUCUUUACGUCACAUCCUCUUUAAGUCACAUCUGCUUUUCUUUAAGUCACAUCUACUUUUCUUUAAAUCACAUCUGCUUUUCUUUAAGUCACAUCCACUUUUCUUUAAGUCACAUUUGCUUUGCUUUUUGUCACAUCUGUCUUCCUUUUUGCCAUAUCUACCGGAUGAAGGAGAAUCUUUGGUAUGUACAUUCAAGAUUUUGGUAAGUUAAUACAGAAUAUAUUUCUGGGACAUUCCAUGUUCUGAUUGGUCUGGUGAGUCAGGUGGCGCUUCUAUUUCAGGAGUGCUGGCUGUACCGGAUGUGUCAUGUAUUUGGGCAAUUUCUGCCUCUUCUUCAAACAUUUUCAUUAAUUGUUUCUCUAAUUCUUUCUUGGUGGCUUUGAGAUUGUACUUUUUCAUCAUGGUAAUAUAUUCUGCCAAACUAUUUGGGUUGGAGUAUGAAUGUGAGCCAUAUGCAAAAGGGAUUUGUUUUAGCUGUAUAUUUUCUAGUUCAAUAUUAUGGUAGACAAAGACGUCCCAUC